GAUGAACGCUGGCGGCGUGCCUAAUACAUGCAAGUCGAGCGAACAGACGAGGAGCUUGCUCCUCUGACGUUAGCGGCGGACAGGUGAGUAACACGUGGAUAACCUACCUAUAAGACUGGGAUAACUUCGGGAAACCGGAGCUAAUACCGGAUAAUAUAUUGAACCGCAUGGUUCAAUAGUGAAAGACGGUUUUGCUGUCACUUAUAGAUGGAUCCGCGCUGCAUUAGCUAGUUGGUAAGGUAACGGCUUACCAAGGCAACGAUGCGUAGCCGACCUGAGAGGGUGAUCGGCCACACUGGAACUGAGACACGGUCCAGACUCCUACGGGAGGCAGCAGUAGGGAAUCUUCCGCAAUGGGCGAAAGCCUGACGGAGCAACGCCGCGUGAGUGAUGAAGGUCUUCGGAUCGUAAAACUCUGUUAUUAGGGAAGAACAAAUGUGUAAGUAACUAUGCACAUCUUGACGGUACCUAAUCAGAAAGCCACGGCUAACUACGUG
rnacentral:rRNA from 1 species